GAUGAACGCUGGCGGCGUGCCUAAUACAUGCAAGUCGAGCGAACAGACGAGGAGCUUGCUCCUCUGACGUUAGCGGCGGACGGGUGAGUAACACGUGGAUAACCUACCUAUAAGACUGGGAUAACUUCGGGAAACCGGAGCUAAUACCGGAUAAUAUAUUGAACCGCAUGGUUCAAUAGUGAAAGACGGUUUUGCUGUCACUUAUAGAUGGAUCCGCGCCGCAUUAGCUAGUUGGUAAGGUAACGGCUUACCAAGGCAACGAUGCGUAGCCGACCUGAGAGGGUGAUCGGCCACACUGGAACUGAGACACGGUCCAGACUCCUACGGGAGGCAGCAGUAGGGAAUCUUCCGCAAUGGGCGAGAGCCUGACGGAGCAACGCCGCGUGAGUGAUGAAGGUCUUCGGAUCGUAAAACUCUGUUAUUAGGGAAGAACAAAUGUGUAAGUAACUAUGCACGUCUUGACGGUACCUAAUCAGAAAGCCACGGCUAACUACGUG
rnacentral:rRNA from 1 species